AAUAUAGCCUUGAUUUUCCCUGUAUAAUACAUUUUUACCCUGAGUUUGACAGACACUUCCAGCAGCCAAAGAGCGCAGAUCUGUGAGGUAGUGAGGUAGCAGCAGUCGAGAUGAGAGCGCUGAGCAGAAGGCGCACCAGACGCUCUCCAAACCCCAAACUCAGUCGCGCACUCCUGGAACUCAUACAUUUGGGCACUGGAGUGAAGCAGGGUUGGAAGUCGUUUUUAGAGGUUUCAGAGGAUAUUAGAAUGAACGGCGAUUGAGUAUCACACCAUAAGUAGACACAGGGACCCUACUCACUCCGAGGGACGUUUACUGCUGUCAUAAAAUGGUGUCGGGCACAUAAAGGCAGGGGCCAUGAAACCGUACCCUCAUCAUCAGACUGUACAGUAGAGAAGCAGAUCCAUGAUCCCGCUGCAAGCAGGGCAUAAAAUCACUACUGCAUGAUAAGGAGCUGCACCGGGACUUUGAACCUUUUACUAGUAUCUAUAAAAGAGGCACAGGACGGAGGACACAAUGUCUAUAAAGCCCUAAUGGAGGAUCAAUUAAGAUGGUUGGGCUGCAGAAAGAGGCUUUUACAGUGUGGGGUUUUAACACUAACCUUGUCUUAACCACUAACACUAAAACCACGAGUCUGGAAAUGUCAGCCUAGUUUUAAUUCCAGUGCAUCACCAACAUCUUCUGAUGGUAUAAAGAGUGAAUG